UGGGGAAUUUUGGACAAUGGGCGCAAGCCUGAUCCAGCCAUGCCGCGUGCGGGAAGAAGGCCUUCGGGUUGUAAACCGCUUUUGGCAGGAACGAAACGGCGCGGGCGAAUACCUCGCGUUAAUGACGGUACCUGCAGAAUAAGCACCGGCUAACUACGUGCCAGCAGCCGCGGUAAUACGUAGGGUGCAAGCGUUAAUCGGAAUUACUGGGCGUAAAGCGUACGCAGGCGGCUUUGCAAGACAGGUGUGAAAUCCCCGGGCCUAACCUGGGAACUGCAUUUGUGACUGCAUAGCUAGAGUCUGUUAGAGGGGGGUGGAAUUCCACGUGUAGCAGUGAAAUGCGUAGAGAUGUGGAAGAACACCGAUGGCGAAGGCAGCCCCCUGGGAUAAGACUGACGCUCAUGUACGAAAGCGUGGGGAGCAAACAGGAUUAGAUACCCUGGUAGUCCACGCCCUAAACGAUGUCUACUAGUUGUCGGAGGGUAACUCCUUCGGUAACGCAGCUAACGCGUGAAGUAGACCGCCUGGGGAGUACGGUCGCAAGAUUAA
rnacentral:rRNA from 1 species